UGAACUAUAGUUAAAUAUAACAUUUAAAUUGCAAAUAAAAAGUGCUAGAAAGCUAGUUUAA
rnacentral:tRNA from 1 species